rnacentral:snRNA from 1 species
AUACUUGCUUGACAGCAUAAACAGCAUGAUCACAAAGUUGGUUUCCCCAAGGCAAAUCUUACCCAUUGCACUGCAAUUGUUCUGACUUCUAUGAUUUUCCCAAGUGUGGGAAACUUGGCUGCUGAAUUUGUGCUUAUGGAAUUAAAAAACAAAAACAAAAAAAAAACCUUGGAGUUCCC